UGAAUACGAGACGCUAAGGCGUCGAAGUAGUGUAUGUCAUGCUUCCAAGAAAAGCUUGCACUGUCAUAGAUAAAAAACGCCUGUACCAUAACCGACACAGGUGGGUAGGUAGAGUAUACUAAGGGGCGCGAGAUAACUCUCUCUAAGGAACUCGGCAAAAUAACUCCGUAACUUCGGGAGAAGGAGUGCCUUAUUCGUAAGGUUGCAAUAACAAGAUCCAAGCAACUGUUUAUCAAAAACACAGGUCUCCGCUAAGUCGUAAGACGAUGUAUGGGGGGCUGACGCCUGCCCAGUGCCAGAAGGUUAAAGAAGUCGGUUAGCAAUUGCGAAGCUGGUAACUGAAGCCCUGGUGAACGGCGGCCGUAACGAUAACGGUCCUAAGGUAGCGAAAUUCCUUGUCGGGUAAGUUCCGACCCGCACGAAAGGCGUAAUGAUUUGGAUACUGUCUCGGAGAGGGGCUCGGUGAAAUAGACUUGUCUGUGAAGAUGCGGACUACCUGCACCAGGACAGAAAGACCCUAUGAAGCUUUACUGUAACUUGAAAUUGAAAUUGGACUUUAUUCGCGCAGUAUAGGUGGGAGGCGUUGAUUAUAAUCUUGCGGGAUUAUUGGAGCCAUCAGUGAGAUACCACCCUUGUAAUGUUAGAUUUCUAACUUUGAAUCAUUAUCUGGUCAAAGAACAGUUUCAGGCGGGCAGUUUGACUGGGGCGGUCGCCUCCUAAACGGUAACGGAGGCGUACAAAGGUUUCCUCUGAACGGUUAGAAAUCGUAUCUAGAGUGUAAAGGCAUAAGGAAGCUUGACUGUGAGACCUACAAGUCGAGCAGGGACGAAAGUCGGUCUUAGUGAUCUGACGGUACUGAGUGGAAAGGCCGUCACUCAACGGAUAAAAGUUACUCUAAGGAUAACAGGCUGAUCUCCCCCAAGAGUUCACAUCGACGGGGAGGUUUGGCACCUCGAUGUCGGCUCAUCGCAUCCUGGGGCGGUAGUACGUCCCAAGGGUUGGGCUGUUCGCCCAUGAAAGCGGUACGCGAGCUGGGUUCAGAACGUCGUGAGACAGUUCGGUCCAUAUCCGGUGUAGGCGUUAGAAUAUUGAGAGGAGCCUUCUUUAGUACGAGAGGACCGAGAAGGACAUACCUCUGGUGUACCAGUUAUCGUGCCAACGGUAAACGCUGGGUAGCUAUGUAUGGAGUGGAUAACCGCCGAAAGCAUCUAAGUGGGAAGCCCACCUCAAGAUAAGUAUUCUCAUCACGUAAGUGAGUAAGGUCACGGUAAGACUAACCGUUUGAUAGGCAUUAAGUGUAAGUACAGUAAUGUAUGUGCUGAGAUGACCUAAUAGACCGAGGACUUGAC
rnacentral:rRNA from 1 species